rnacentral:rRNA from 1 species
CUCCCUCUGACUCGGGGAUAACAUUGCGAAAGCGAUGCUAAUACCGGAUGACAUCACGAAAACUCGGUUUUUUUGAUCAAAGGUGGCCUCUACAUGUAAGCUUCCGAUUAGAGAUGAGCCCGCGUACCAUUAGCUUGUUGGUGGGUAACGGCCUACCAAGGCUGCGAUGGUUAGCUGGUCUGAGAGGAUGAUCAGCCACACUGGAACUGACACACGGUCCAG